UGCGGCGGAUUAGGUAGUUGGUGGGGUAACGGCCUACCAAGCCGAUGAUCCGUAGGGGGCGUGAGAGCGUGGCCCCCCACACUGGCACUGAGACACGGGCCAGACUCCUACGGGAGGCAGCAGUGAGGAAUAUUGCACAAUGGGCGCAAGCCUGAUGCAGCAACGCCGCGUGAGGGACGAAGGCCUUCGGGUUGUAAACCUCUUUUCUGAGGGACGAGGAAGGACGGUACCCCAGGAAUAAGUCUCGGCUAACUACGUGCCAGCAGCCGCGGUAAAACGUAGGAGGCGAGCGUUAUCCGGAUUUACUGGGCGUAAAGCGUACGCAGGUGGCUUCGUGAGUCGGACAUGAAAGCUCCCGGCUUAACUGGGAGAGGUUGUUCGAUACUGCGAGGCUUGAGGUUGGGAGAGGGACGUGGAAUUCCCGGUGUAGUGGUGGAAUGCGUAGAUAUCGGGAGGAACACCAGUGGCGCAAGCGGCGUCCUGGCCCACACCUGACGCUGAGGUACGAAAGCGUGGGUAGCAAACAGGAUUAGAUACCCUGGUAGUCCACGCUGUAAACGAUGUCAACUGGGUGUCGGUAGUUUUACACUAUCGGUGCCGAAGCCAACGCG
rnacentral:rRNA from 1 species